rnacentral:lncRNA from 1 species
UCGGAGUCGCCGCUCUCCAAACAGAGCUCCACCUCGUCGUUAACGUUUCCUUGUAGACACGAACGGAACGAGCCUUCUAUUAACGGCAAGAAAACGGUGUAGAGUUUCUGGUUGGUUUCGUCAACGCCGUCAGGCUCCAGGUGGGACCCGCUGUUAGAUUCGGUUAAUAGGAACUGCGUCUCUAGUGGGAUGUCCCGGCCCAGUUGGCCCAUUCUCUGGGCCAUCCACCAGAGCUUGAACCGGAAACAAGACAUGAACCGGGAAUCGUGAAGCUUACCGAUCGGUACGAUGUGGUUACUCUGUUCUGUGUCGAAUACAGCUCCGAGGAAGACUCCUUCGACCGGUCCGGCCUCUGAUGCUGACGUCGUGAUGACAUUGUCUGGUAAACCGGUUAGAACCGUACGGUUUUUGAUGAUUAGAUUCCCGUCGGAGAUUCCAACCGCCGGUUUAAUCGUCAUCUCUUCUUCCUUUUCUCUGUAACUCCUCUUCAACGGCGAAGCAGCCUCGCUUCUCUGUAUUUAUCAGACGGAUUAAAAGAUUCGAUUUUUAGAUUCGGAGUUCUCGAUGGAGCAGAUCAGAUCUAAAGAGAAACGGUACCUUAUACGAACAGGAAUGGAAUCGUCGAGAAGGUGAAGAAGAACAAUGCCUGCGAUAUCCAAGACAUGGAGUAUCAAGAACGAGGCUGUUAGACGUGGAAUCUAACUAUUGAAUAUAAGAGAGAAUGAAGAAGAUGCAAUACCAGAAGACAGACGAAGCUGUGAUGAGAGAAUGCGAGCUUGAGGUUUUGAUUUCAAUUGAAGAUAAGAUGAAGAUGAAGAAGAGAAACGGUAUGUGAGAGAGUGAAACAGAGGAUGAACCCUUUUUAUACUGUUAAUUCCAUUGAAACAUCCUUGUGAUGCCAUUGUUUUCUCUCUCUCUCUCUCUCUCUCUUUUUUCUUCGUUGCUGCUGAGUUAUUUUUUACAAGUUUCUCUCAGUCUUUAACUAUUUAUCCGAUUCCACCGUAUUUUAAUCAAUUUUUUAUUUUAUUAAAUAGGUAAUAAUACUCCUUUAACACGCAUCUUUUGAUUUCUUUUUGUAUCGUGCAAGACGUAUAUUAAUUGUAUUUGCUUUUGUAAAUCACAGUAUUGAUUUUUCAACAUGUUUCAGGUGAUAAUCUUUCAUGUUUAAGAAGCUACGAGAGGCGUCGUCAAAGUUUCGCUCUCAUUCUUGUAGGUUCUGUUCUGUAAGAACAAUAAUUAAGAUUAAAAGUUAGAUUUGUACGUUGACAAGUUAAAAGGAAAGAUUAGGUUGCCACGUGAGAUAUAUGCUGUAACAUCGGGUUAAAAGAAGUUCCCAUUGGUCCGCAUGUUGACGAAACUCGAGAGAUUCAAAGAUUUUUUAAGGGCUUUAAGAUAUUUUUGCACGACCGUCGUACGUGUCAUCGUGUCAGCAGGUUAUCAAUAUAUUAUCACGAGAUAAAUCUAAUUUUCUUUAACUAAAAGUCUAAAAAUAGAUAGAUGUUUGUUGUUGACGAAAAAAAAAGAUGUUUGUUAACAAAAAAAGAAGCAAGAAAAGAAGAAAAAAGAUAGGUUUUACUUGUAACGAGUUUGCCGAUGGAUAUUUUAAUGAAUUUUUCAGCAUUUAACAUUGUAAAAAAAUGAGAUUAUAGAAAGACAUCAACACAAGUGGCUCAAUUAUCUUGCAGUUCAACUUGCUUCAACAAUCCCGAUGUUGUGCGGUCGUGUGGGCCCCCACAGUUCCAUGAUAUUAUAGAAAUUAGAAAAUGUCAUUCUAUUCAGAUAAUAUGAGAGAGAGCACUACACGAAAAAUAAUAAUUUGAUGUUUCUUUCUGUAUUUAUUUGUUUGCAACUGAUGUAUACACAUAUAAAAUACAGAAAAUGAAGUAUUCGGCGAUGCAUGAUUCGCUUGCAACGAAUGAUUUGUUCAGACAGUGAUUGGGAAAACAAAUCAACUUGUGUUUUUCUAUGAAAAAAGAAGCUAGAUAAUUGUCCCAAUUGGACCCAAAAUGCACAAGUAAGAAAAUAAGCAACACAGACUACUUAUCUUUAUAAGCCAAUCUGCUUAUUACCUGACACCAUCUCGAGCAGGAUCUGUGAACAAACAAUCACGAGUUGGUCUACCAGGCAAUCUAGCACGAAGGAUUGAUCCAUCAGGCAACACAAGCUUUCUUAGAAGAUCAAAGUUGUGUUUUCCAGGAGCAUCACUACUCAUCAAGAACAGAGAGAGACAAACAAAUAAGUAAACAGUGUUGAGUUUGCAAUCAUUAAAAUGGAUUUUUGAGAGAUCUGUUACCUAACGUAAAUAGGUCCACCACUGAUGGCCCUAGCAGAGGCAUGAUACUCUGCAGCAGGGUGCACGGAGUGGAACAUGUCCCAGUCAGGCAGCAUAAACUCUCCCAAGAACACACUGUUGUAUGCAACCGAGGCAAUGUGGAUGGUGUGAGACACCGGAUCACGUGGGUAGAAAUCAUCUGAUGCUCUAAUCACAGCUGCUUGCUUGGAGCUGCAUCACCACCGAUCAAAUUCAAAAAAAAUUAUACUCAAAUAAAAAAAAAAUUACUACUCCCUCCGUUUUUAAUAUUUAUGUUUUAGAAUAAAUUUUGUGUUCCUGAUUAUAUAAUGUUUUAAUUUUCAGUGCGAAAUUUAUAAGUUUUUAUAUUAUAUAACAAAUUGUUUUAUACAGUUUGCUUUAUGCAAAUAAUUAAUGAUAUUUUUAAAUAGAAAAUGUAAAAAGAUUAUUAGUUUUUGUGCACAAUUCUAAAGCGUAGUCAUCUAUUACAAAACGGAAGGAGUAAAAGAUAAUGCAAAGACUUACCAGUAGAGAGCAUCUGUGUUAUGGCUCAUACAAGCAAUGCAACCAUUAUCAGGGAAGUUCUUAGCAACAGAGGAAUCAAGAGCCUGAUGAUACUGACGCGUUAACUCGACCCGACCACCUAACCCACCACCAAGAGUCUCCAAUAUACACUGCACAUCCACUUUCACACCGUCCACACCAGCAGCAGCCAAGUAACUAUGAAGCUCGUUGUAGAAUCUAUACACGUUCUUUGGGUUAACCAAACCCAACCCUUGAACCGCCAUAACAUCAGUCUCCCACGUCGGUUCGUUCUCCACCACACCUUUUGACACCAUCGGAUACUUCAUGGAAGACCCGUAUUCCUCCCCGGGUCGUACCCCGCCCCAGUAACCCGUUAUUGCAUGCCACACGUACACGUACUUCAGACCGUGUUUGUUUUUAGCUAUGUCGACUAUGUUCUUGAUCCCCUGUUUUGGGUCGUCCUUGUUCUUGAACUUUGCGUUCUCCUCGAUCCCGGUUAACCGGUAAACCGGGUUCUCAACCGGGUUAUCAUCAUCGUUCUCGACGGACUGCCAACCGUCGUCGAUGAUGACGAACUUCGGCGGCGUAUCUCCGGCGGUUAGAGAGUUAAGCCCUUCCUCGACGCCUUCUUGAGUAACCUCCUGGUAAAACGCGUCCCAAGUGCACCACCCGAAGUAGUCGACGAUCCCCGGGAGCUUCUUCUCGUGACGUUGACGGAAACUCUUGAGAUGCAACUUAACGGCGUGGAUAGCGUCCGUUAUCGUCUGAAACGGAUCAGUGCCGGCGUGAAUAUAUAAAGAGUGAGUAAACGACGACGUUUUAGUGUCGGAGUCGCCGCUCUCCAAACAGAGCUCCACCUCGUCGUUAACGUUUCCUUGUAGACACGAACGGAACGAGCCUUCUAUUAACGGCAAGAAAACGGUGUAGAGUUUCUGGUUGGUUUCGUCAACGCCGUCAGGCUCCAGGUGGGACCCGCUGUUAGAUUCGGUUAAUAGGAACUGCGUCUCUAGUGGGAUGUCCCGGCCCAGUUGGCCCAUUCUCUGGGCCAUCCACCAGAGCUUGAACCGGAAACAAGACAUGAACCGGGAAUCGUGAAGCUUACCGAUCGGUACG